rnacentral:rRNA from 1 species
AUUGAACGCUGGCGGCAUGCCUUACACAUGCAAGUCGAACGGCAGCACGGGAGCAAUCCUGGUGGCGAGUGGCGAACGGGUGAGUAAGUAUCGGAACGUGCCCAGUCGUGGGGGAUAACGUAGCGAAAGUUACGCUAAUACCGCACACGAUCUAUGGAUGAAAGCGGGGGAUCGCAAGACCUCGCGCGAUUGGAGCGGCCGAUAUCAGAUUAGGUAGUUGGUGGGGUAAAGGCUCACCAAGCCGACGAUCUGUAGCUGGUCUGAGAGGACGACCAGCCACACUUGGACUGAGACACGGCCCAGACUCCUACGGGAGGCAGCAGGGGGGAAUUUUGGACAAUGGGCGCAAGCCUGAUCCAGCCAUGCCGCGUGCAGGAUGAAGGCCUUCGGGUUGUAAACUGCUUUUGUACGGAACGAAAAGGUUUGACUUAAUACGUUGGACUCAUGACGGUACCGUAAGAAUAAGCACCGGCUAACUACGUGCCAGCCGCCGCAGUAACAC